NUUAACUAAUGAGCUUGUUUAAAGCAUAUGUUUUGAAAACAUAAGAAAGAAGUAAAUUCUAUUAGUUUAACAAAAU
rnacentral:tRNA from 1 species